rnacentral:rRNA from 1 species
AAAUUGAAGAGUUUGAUCAUGGCUCAGAUUGAACGCUGGCGGCAGGCCUAACACAUGCAAGUCGAACGGUAACAGGAAGCAGCUUGCUGCUUUGCUGACGAGUGGCGGACGGGUGAGUAAUAUCUGGGAAACUGCCUGAUGGAGGGGGAUAACUACUGGAAACGGUAGCUAAUACCGCAUAACGUCGCAAGACCAAAGAGGGGGACCUUC